CCUACGGGAGGCAGCAGUGGGGAGUAUUGGACAAUGGGCGAAAGCCUGAUCCAGCAAUGCCGCGUGUGUGAAGAAGGCCUUCGGGUUGUAAAAUCCUUUUCAGGGGGAAGAGCGAGGACGGUACCCCUGGAAUAAGCGUCGGCUAACUACGUGCCAGCAAGCCGCGGUAAAUU
rnacentral:rRNA from 1 species